UGGCAACAGACCUCCAUGGGUGCCGUGGCAACAAAUGUCAUGGUUGACGUGGCAAUUGAUGCCACAGGUGUCAUGGUAAUAAAUCUCCAUGGGUGCCAUGGCAACAGAUGCCACGGGUGUGAUAGGUGCCAUGGCAACUGAUGCCAUAGCAACAGACACCCUAAGUACCAUGGCUACAGACUCCAUGGCAGUGGCAUUGAAUGGAGUAGGAGAACCUGUGCAAGCUGCGAAGGUGACGUUUCAUGUGGAGUUCUGGAGCCCCGGCCUUUGUCUGGAUCACUUACAGCUGGGGGCAUAUUGUUUUAUUUUGUAUUUAUUGAAAUUUAUUUUUUGUUGUUUUUUUUGUUGGUUUUUUUUUUUACAAAAUAUAGAGAGAAACUCCAAGGGGAUGAAGGGCGGGAAGGUUUGAUCUGGUCAGAGGAAGAUCUCAGGCUUUUCAGUCUCCCGUUGCCUGCAGGAGUGGUGUCUAUCUAUUCUGUUUCCUAACAACACGGAUAUUUGGGGAACACGUUUCUAAGUUACUGAGAAGUAAAUUAUUAAUGACCAGACAGCACUUGGUCCUGCCAUGAGGGCAGGGGACUGGACUCAAUGACCUCUCGGGGUCCCUUCCAGUCCUAUGAGAUAAGAAUAUCUCCAUGGCCCCAAACCUGUGAAAUUCCGAGCUCCUACAUCUGCCAGUGGAGUCAGCCUCAGCCCCACUCAAGAUCAGUCCCUAAAUAUAGAAAUACUGAACAUGGAUUUUUUUUCUCCAAGAAAACAAUUUUAAGAAAUGUAAGUCCUGAUUUUAGGCAAUAGGAUCUCUCCGUGUUCAUUUCAGAUCUGAGUGAUGUGCACAGGUGUGGAUGCUCUGUAGAUCAUAUUCCGUUUUUAUAUUUCACUAUUUAAAUUAGAUUUUUUUAGAUUGCAUUCUAACCUCUAUAUUUUAAAAAGCCUGAUCUUGCAGUUCUCGUGGAGCAAAUACCCCUUAUGAAGGCAAGGAUUUAAGGACUCAAGCUUGGACUCAAAGCGAUUGUUUUUAUUCACAGAUGAGCUGGAAUGGAUAAAAAUAAAAUGGCAGGGUUGGUUCUCUGUGAGCCCACAGAGCUUUACAACAUCUUGAACCAGUCCACGAAGCUCUCCAGGUUAACUGAGCCUAACUAUCUCUGUUUACUGGAUGCCCGUACAAAGCGUGAGUACAAUGAAAGCCAUGUGAUUACAGCAAGAAGAGUUAAACAGAAUCCUGGGGGGGACUAUCUGGUACCUGAAUCAGUUGAGCUGGAGUGUGUCAAAUAUUGUGUCGUAUAUGAUAGCAAAACCAGCUCUUUGGAUGAUAUCUAUUACGAUGAUUAUGAAGAGAAGGAGGAGGAUGAGAAAGGGACUGAAGCUCCCUCAGGGAUCUCAGGAUUUGAAUCCAGUUCUUCAUGUUCACAAAAUGCUGAGGUAGGGGCUGCCAUCCAGUGUGCCAGAGUCUUAGAGCAGUUCACCCGCCACCCAGUCCGCAUCCUGAAAGGAGGGUAUGAGCGCUUCACUGCGUGCUACCAUUUCUUGAGGACUCAGAAGAUAUUCUGGAUGCCUCAGGAACUGGAUGCUUUUGAGCCAUAUCCUGUAGAGAUAUUGCCUGCUCAAUUAUAUAUGGGAGAUUACAGGCAGGCCUGUGACCAACAGAUUCAGAAGGAUCUGAAAAUCAAAGCACAAGUCAACAUUUCAGAGGAGCUUGCAACGCUUUUCACAGAUGAGAGCAAAACACUUCUUCAUGUUUCUGUGGCAGAUUCCCCCGAUGCAGAUCUUUUUUCCUUUUUCCCCACCAUUUGUCACUUCAUAGAUGCUAAGAUGGCUCUUGGAGCAGUUCUGGUUUUCUCUACCCUGGGUCUAAGUCGGAGCAGCACGGCGGUAAUGGCCUUCCUCAUGCAUUCAUCCCAUUAUCCCUUAAAGAUCGCCCGGAAGCCAGGACUACAAACAUGGCUGACUGGAAGGAUUACAUAUCUAAGCAACUCUGCUUUCCUGGAUCUCAGAAAGAGAGAGACUUUCUGAGUCUGGGAGCUACCAUGACCUGACUUUGUCCCUUACUCCUGCGGGACAUAGGAAGUCCAGCCCACCCUGCUUGUGGAACUCUGGCUUUGUGCCCUAAAGCUGAGGUCAGCAGCACAGGUGUCUUUAAAAUCCCAGAUUGCUUCCCCAAGACCACAUCUCGUGAUCCACAGAUAUUGUUCUAGGGAAACCCAGAAUAGGGCUGCACUAGUUUAAGAGGGGUGCACUCUUCAAUCUUAAAGGACUAGCACAUCUCAUUACAUAGCUCCACAAGUCUUCAUAAAAAUAUUGGGUGAAGGCUGAGAAGUACCUAGCUGUAUACUGGAUUGGUUGCUUAUCCCCAAAUUCCAGGAUGUUCCUCAGUUUACUCAGUGUCCCAGCAUUUUGAAAAGAGGGCUUGGAAAUACAUCCAGAAAUGCAAACAAACAUGAGACCAAACCGUGG